rnacentral:rRNA from 1 species
GACGUAGGGCGCGAGCGUUGUCCGGAUUUAUUGGGCGUAAAGAGCUCGUAGGCGGUGUGUCGCGUCGGCCGUGAAAACCUGCAGCUUAACUGUGGGCUUGCGGUCGAUACGGGCAUCACUGGAGUUCGGCAGGGGAGACUGGAAUUCCUGGUGUAGCGGUGAAAUGCGCAGAUAUCGGAAGGAACAUCAGUGGCGAAAAGCGGCUUCCUGGUCCAGCACCGGACGUCAGGCACGAAAGCGUGGGGAGCAAACAGG